UAUAAUAUUCCAUUUGAAUAUGGUAAGAGAUAUAUAUAUAGAUCUAGCUCCAAAGAUUCUGGUCUUACGUUAGUUUUUAUAUGGGUGGUAAUGAGUUAAUGGUUUUAAUCAGGUGGGGGAUGUCUUCAUAUAGAGAGAUAGAAGAGGAGGGGCCCCGUGCUUCUGAAGAAGUGGCGUGAGGCCACGAAACGCGUUAAGCGUGGGGCUAUGUUCACUUGUUUGCUCAUCAUGAUUUUAUGAUUAUUCUCAAUAAAUUUGGAUUUUUUAUAUGACCCCAAAUGCUGCCUGGUGCUCCAUGAUUUGGUUGCUCAGUGGAUACAGUAUUCAACGUGUUCUUCCGGAAACGCGUGCAUGUGUCAGCACAGACGGCAAGGUCGGCCUACAGCGUGUUCGGGAACACUUGGAUGUCUUAAUUCAUCCGAUCUUCAGCCGUAAUUCAUCCAGACUUUGAGGUGGUGUAAAAUUAUUACCAUCAUUAUUGGCAGGGUCAGACUGGGCCAUCAGGACACCGGGGAAAAAACGUGGGCCCUGCCAAGCCGGACCUGCUACUCGAUUUCCCUCUGUCGUCGCACCCCCACUGUCGCUUCCCUGCUGUUCUCCCCUGAUUGUGCUACAAGGUCGUCCACAUUGCCCAGGAAAAGGGGAGGCGGAGGAAAGAAAGGCGGGAGUGAAUUUAGGAUCUGAUAAGGAUUCCUUGAAAACAUUGCUACUGAAACUGAGAUAUUUGUGGAUCAUUAAUAUGGGCCUCUGAGCUGUCGCCUGGGACUCGUAACGUUUCUCGCUGCCAUGGAAAUACCAGGAAACAAACACAAACUCACAGGUCCUAUUCUUUUCUUGCUGGUGACCUACACAUACAAACAGAUGAAAGCAAUUUGAGGGUUAACUAAAGGAUACAGGAAACGUUGCGUCAUUAUUCCUCUUGCAUUUCUCAUACUUUCAUUAUUACCUGGCAGUUUCUGGCCCUCGACUGAAGAUAUUUAUAAUAUGUCCUAAAAACACACAUGCAAAUUGAA